rnacentral:rRNA from 1 species
AUUUAAGCAUAUCAAUAAGCGGUGGAAAAGAAACCAACAGGGAUUCCCUUAGUAACGGCGAGCGAACAGGGAAGAGCCCAGUAUGAAAAUCUCCAGCCUUUGGCUGGCGAAUUGUAGUCUGGAGGAGCGCUCCCUGGGUGGGUGCUGGCCGAAGUAUACUGGAAGGUAUCGCUAUAGAGGGUGAGAGCCCCGUAGGCCAGUUAACCCGUCCUUCACGGGACGCUUUCAAAGAGUCGCGUUGUUUGGGAAUACAGCGCUAAUUGGGUGGUAAACCCCAUCUAAGGCUAAAUACCAAUGGGAGACCGAUAGCGAAAAAGUACCUCGAGGGAACGAUGAAAAGACCGCUGGCAAGCGAGUAAAAGAGUGCAUGAAAUUGUGUAGCGGGAAGGGAUGGCCUGGUAGCAUGCGCCCGGGUUGAUGUGGUUCGCAAGAGCUGCUGUCUGCACUGGGUGCUGGCUGGUACCGGCGCCCUUGGCCGUACAAUACUCUGCUGAGGUGCAGAGCACUGCGGGCGAGGGUGCCGAGGCUGAUCAGUUGCUUUGCCCCUUCGGGGAGCUGCUCUGACAGGGUACCAGCUGAAACCUGUCCAUCUGCCCGUCUGAAAAACACGGAAGUC